UCGCAUGCCCGAAAGGGUGACGAAGCGACGCCGCGUGGGUGAGGAAGGCCUUCGGGUUGUAAAGCCCUGUCAGGAGUUAAGAAAUGUAGACGCGCUAAUAUCGGGUCUAUUUGACAAAGGCUCCAAAGGAAGCCACGGCUAACUCUGUGCCAGCAGCCGCGGUAAUACAGAGGUGGCAAGCGUUGUUCGGAAUUAUUGGACGUAAAGAGCACGUAGGUGGAUUUGUAAGUCAGACGUGAAAGCCUUCUGUUCAACGGAAGAAUUGCAUCUGAAACUACAAACCUUGAGUGUAGGAGGGGAGAAUGGAACUUCUGGUGGAGCGGUGAAAUGCGUAGAUAUCAGAAGGAACGCCGGCGGCGAAAGCGAUUCUCUGGCCUAUUACUGACACUCAGUGUGCGAAAGCUAGGGGAGCAAACGGGAUUAGAUACCCCGGUAGUCCUAGCCGUAAACGAUGGGCACUAAGUAGAGGGGU
rnacentral:rRNA from 1 species